GGCUUGGAAGCAGCCAUUCAUUUAAAGAGUGCGUAACAGCUCACUAGUCGAGCGAUCCUGCGUGGAUAAUAAUCGGGCAUAAGCAUACUGCCGAAGCUGUGGAAUUCUGUCAUUAUGAUGGGAUUGGUAGGGGAGCAUUCCAUAGGCAUUGAAGAUUUAAGGUAACUUAUAUUGGAGCUUAUGGAAAAGCAAAUGUAGGUAUAAGUAACGAUAAUGGGGGCGGGAAACCCCCACGCCGGAAGACUAAGGAUUCCUGAUCAACGCUAAUCGGAUCAGGGUUAGUCGGGUCCUAAGAUUAAGCCUAAGGGCGAGGUCGAUGGAAGAAUCGGUUAAUAUUCCGAUACUGGCGUACGGAGCGAUGUGGAGACGGAGAAGUGACAGUCCUGCCCACUGACGGAAUAGUGGGUUGAAUGGUGUAGGCUUUGAGGGAAGUAGGCAAAUCCGCUUUCUGAGCUGACCCUAACAGUACCGAGCGUUCUUGAACAAUCGGAUAAUGGAUGUAAUCAUGCUCCCUAGAAAAUCCGCUAAGCGUUAAUUCGUACGGCACCCGUACCACAAACGGACACACGUGGUCAAGUAUAGAGUACUAAGGCGCUCGAGUGAUUCAUGGCUAAGGAACUAGGCAAAAUAGUCCUGUAACUUUGGGAGAAAGGACGCCACUAGCGAUAGUGGCCGCAGAGAAAUGGCCCAGGCGACUGUUUAACAAAAACAUAGGGCUUUGCAAAAUCGAAAGAUGAGGUAUAAGGCCUGACACCUGCCCGGUGCCGGAAGGUUAAGAGGAGAAGUCAGCUCACGCGAAGCUUUGAAUUGAAGCCCCGGUAAACGGCGGCCGUAACUAUAACGGUCCUAAGGUAGCGAAAUUCCUUGUCGGGUAAGUUCCGACCUGCACGAAUGGUGUAACGAUCUGGGCACUGUCUCAGCCAUGAGCUCGGUGAAAUUGUAGUAUCGGUGAAGAUGCCGAUUACCCGCAACGGGACGGAAAGACCCCGUGAACCUUUACUGCAACUUAACGUUGAAUCUGGGUGGUCGAUGUGUAGGAUAGGCCGGAGGCUGUGAAGGGUGGACGCCAGUCUGCUUGGAGCCGUCGUUGAAAUACGGCCCUUCGGUCAUUUGGGUUCUAACUCCCUCAGGGAGGACACCGUUUGGUGGGUAGUUUGACUGGGGUGGUCGCCUCCAAAAGCGUAACGGAGGCUUCCAAAGGUACCCUCAGGCCGAUUGGUAACCGGUCGUAGAGUGUAAUGGUAUAAGGGUGCUUGACUGAGAGACCGACAAGUCGAUCAGGUAGGAAACUAGGGCAUAGUGAUCCGGUGGUUCCGCAUGGAA
rnacentral:rRNA from 1 species